rnacentral:rRNA from 1 species
GAUGAACGCUAGCGGCAGGCCUAAUACAUGCAAGUCGGACGGGAUUCAGGAGCUUGCUUCUGAUGAGAGUGGCGCACGGGUGCGUAACACGUAUGUAACCUACCUUUAUCAGGGGGAUAGCCUCUCGAAAGAGAGAUUAAGCCCGCAUAAAAUCACAGCACAGCAUUGUGUAAUGAUCAAAUAUUUAUAGGAUAAAGAUGGGCAUGCGGAACAUUAGCUAGAUGGCGGGGUAACGGCCCACCAUGGCGACGAUGUUUAGGGGAUCUGAGAGGAUGGCCCCCCACACGGGUACUGAGACACGGACCAGACUCCUACGGGAGGCAGCAGUAAGGAAUAUUGGUCAAUGGGCGGAAGCCUGAACCAGCCAUGCCGCGUGCAGGAAGACGGCCCUACGGGUUGUAAACUGCUUUUAUACGGGAAUAAACCCAGAUACGUGUAUCUGGCUGAAUGUACUGUAAGAAUAAGAAUCGGCUAACUCCGUG